UUAACACCAAAAAAAACAUGAGGAUUACUUUAUGUCCUUUUGAGAGUCAUGCUCCAUAAAUCAGCCCACUUUGGCAAAUGAGAACCAAAAGAUUUAAAAAAGAUUUGAGUGUACCAUCAACUAUGAGUCAACUUUUUGGGGGGCCACCCAGUUUAGAGAGCACUUUUCAUCAGAUAAUUCAUAGGAAUUUCGGUGGGGUGUUCCCUUGGGUUUCUUGUGAAAUAGUUCCUGAAAUUGAUAGAACAAAGACACUCAUCUAGAUUGGUAUCUUCUUCACUCAUUCCUCUCACCCACUUUUGUGGUACUGGACGAAAGGAAUGAGAGUGAGACCCGUCAAUUUUAUGAGGGGAUUAUGAAAUCACAGCUAUUCACAAAUAACCAAACGGGCGAGAAGAAAGGGAAA
ensembl:ncRNA K04D7.12 ncRNA